CUGGAAAACAUCGUGACGUCAUCGUCAUUGUGUCAAUUAAUGUCAACAUUUGGCAGAUAAGACAAAUAUUCAAAUUUGGGCAGAUCCACAGCAGAUUCGAAGCAGGAAGUUUGUUGGAUUCAUGCGCUGAAACAAACUUUAGUUUUGUCGUAUUGCGUAUCGCGUCUUAAAGAUGCUUAUAAAUGGCAGGUUGUUGGAUCUCGUCGUGAUUUUCCUUGUUGUAAUAUCGUGUGACAAUGGGAGCGCUUUAAUAUACCCAGAGGUAUUUAUAAACAGUACAUGCAUGUAAUUAAUCAUCAUCAUAUUAAAUUCGAUGUUCUGUGUUUCUUUAUAAUAAUAGACUUCUGUGUUAUGUGUGCAGAGUUUGAAUGUAUUUUCCGGUUUAAAAUUUUCCUAUUUAAUUGUGUACACGAAAUUUCGCCAAUUUGAUGCAGAAAAUGCAUUAUAUUUAGAACCAUUUAGUAUGUAUCUCAUAUAAAGUAAUAUUUGUUCCCGAAACAGAUGGCGUUCAAUUUGAACGUGUACAGUACUUAGCUAACAUUCGCCAUUCCCAGGUAGGAUUGGGCAUUACCCAUUGUUUUUUAACCAAAGAUGUGGGCAUUUCAUGUAAUAAAAUUUGAUAUUAUGGCAGCUAGGGCAUUUGACCCCUUACAAGUUUAAUACAACUUAUAUUUAUAGUAUAAAUGUACAGUAUCAUUUUGAGAAAAUAAUGUGGCAGGAUGCCCUGUUUAAAUAUUUUGUGUUAAGGAUAGCAUUUGCCAAUUAAUGGUUGGGUCAUUAUUAAAGAAUAAAUUGAAAGUUAACCCUCUACCUCAUUUGAACCAUAGAGAUUAUAAAUAACACUAGAGGAGGCAUUGUAAUCUUAAUGUCUUAAUUCAGUUAAAAAAAAAGGGAACAUGGCUAUUGGGGGCAAAUUCAAGUCCCGGAUGUGUAUUCACGUUCCCGUUGGUGAUGAGUUUCAAAUCAGCCACUGAGAGUGUGAUUUUGUAUCCGGGACUUGAAUUUGCCCCCCAUUAGCUGCGUUCCCAAUUUUUAACCUCGAUGCCAGUCCUCUAGUGUUAUUUAUAAUCUCUAUGAUUUGAACGUCCUAGUACAUUUUACUAUUAUCAGAAGUAGAUUCCUGCCCUCAAUCCCCCUCUGGAUAGCAGAAGUUUUCUCACAUAACAGAUUGUGGAUCUACUCUCCCUUACAAAAAUGUAUAUGGGAAUUCUUAUAGGAAAGGCUAUGUAUGACCAUGCAGGCUAUGGGAAUUUCAGACUAUUCCCCAAACCUGUAUGAAUUCUUUUUAAGGGAUGGAAAACCCAUUAUGACAUGCAGAUUCAGGUUUCAAAAUAUCUAUAAUAUAAUUAUCAUGGCCAGUGUUAUUAAAUAUACAUGUAUUAUCAUGGGUAUUUGUUACAGAAAAAUACAGGGCUGUGCCAUGAAAAGUCACAAAGUGGGCCUUGUUGAGCAAAGAAGAUCUUUAACUUCAUGAUGAAAGCAUAAGUACUUUCUCGGAGGCAGGUUAAAAUUUUCCCUCACGUCUAAGGCCAUUAUAGCAAUCCUAUAUUUAUUAGGGUCCUUCCACACCACCCCAACCUGGAAGAAGAGACUACAAAAUUAAUAUAAAAUUUUAAUGGAGUUGUGUCCCACGCAGAUCAAAUUAGGGCCCAGGCCUUCAUGGGCUGUCAGGUUGGGGGCAUAAGGCCUCAGUAUAUCACGUUAGGCGACCCAAAACUUAAUUACAUGUUAAAGGGGCAGAAAAAUUUGUUUUUCACCCCCAAUGAGAUAUCAGUCGGAACAGGCCCUGGACAAGCAUGUAUAAUUAUAUCACAUCAGCCAAUUAACAGGAAUUGGUAUAUUACUAUAUGUCGUGCAACAAGAACCCAAUUUUGCAAUCUUGCAUGUUUAAUAUAAUCCAUAAGUAUUUCUAAUUCUGUGUCUAAAAUUCUAAUGUUAACCCCAGAUUCCAUGGUAACUUUUCUUGCUAAUUGCUCUAGUAUAUUUCCGACUGUCAUCCAAUUAGGUAAUCCCCUCCCCCUCCCUUCCCCUGAUUAUGAUGUAAUUAUUGAAUGUCCCCUCUUGUGGAUGCCUAUCAUUGAUUUAUGGUAAUAGAAUUCUAUAUUUGCUCAUUUUGCUGUAUGGUACUGUAAUAGUGCUUGAGUAAAUAACUAUAAUUAUAACUCCAUUAUGUGCCGUGUCAGCCAGAAUGAACUGUUUCUCAGUUUUUAUUUAUUUUAUUUAUAUAUUUAUUACCUUUACAAUCAAUUAUUUCAUUGAUGGUGACAACAGGACUGUUAUAGUGCCAAAUAAAGUUCUGCAGACUGUAUUUAUAAAUACAUACAUACAGGAUUAAAAACAACAAAUACAUUACAAAACACAGGGAUGGAUUUACUGGGGGUGUGUGCAGGGGAUUGCUAUUUUUCAUGAUAAAGCAAAAAAAUAUUAAAGACAAAAUUAGAUACAGUAACUUAAUUGAGUUAAUAAUUAACAUGAUGAUAUAUAAGCGAACUGUGAACAACAAUUAUAGUUCAAGUACAGUAGUCAAGCGUAGUUUAUUGAUGGGUGCAUGGAGGUGCAUGUGACUGACACAACUCUGCACCAGAGCUGGCAGCUAGAGCUAGCACCCCCCCCCCUACAUGUACCUGAUCAUGCUGGAUCCAUCCCUGAAACAUUCAUAAUAAAACAUUCACAUCUGUGAAGUAUGAACUGCAACAAUUUAUGAUACAAGAACAACAUUUAGAACAAAUUGUUUUCCACGUUUCUCGGCCUAUCCACAUCAAAAACAGUUCUAAGUUUGUCCAUGUAUUAAAUGUCUUUGUAGGUUUUUCAUUUUGCCUAAAUGGAAUGUUGAACACACAAAAUCCUAUUGGAAUUCCAAUUAGAGUUGUAAUUCCAAUUGGAAUUUGGGCCAAUUUCCAAUUGGAAUUAUUUUUUCUGUCUGACUUUUAGUGGAUUAAAUUUAAAUUCCUGUUGAAAUUAGUUCCAAUUGGAAUUUGGGCCAAUUUCCAAAACAAAGUGGAUUCUCCGAACACUCUUAAACAAAAGUGUAUGGUGUUUUUUGAGGUUGUGUAAUUCACACUAAGUUGAUGGAAUUAUUAUUAAUUAUUUGUUUUCUCUUUGUAGGACAAGCAAAAAUACGAUGGCAACACAAUAAGACACAAACGAAGUAAUAUAUAUAUAUAUAUACAAUAAAAUACCAUUCUCUAAUUUUAAGCACAUUUUACCCCAGUGUAAAUUAUAGUAUAACACAUAUAAAGC